rnacentral:rRNA from 1 species
GAUGAACGCUGGCGGCGUGCCUAAUACAUGCCAGUCGAGCGAACAGAUGAGGAGCUUGCUCCUCUGACGUUAGCGGCGGACGGGUGAGUAACACGUGGAUAACCUACCUAUAAGACUGGGAUAACUUCGGGAAACCGGAGCUAAUACCGGAUAAUAUAUUGAACCGCAUGGUUCAAUAGUGAAAGACGGUUUUGCUGUCACUUAUAGAUGGAUCCGCGCCGCAUUAGCUAGUUGGUAAGGUAACGGCUUACCAAGGCAACGAUGCGUAGCCGACCUGAGAGGGUGGUCGGCCACACUGGAACUGAGACACGGUCCAGACUCCUACGGGAGGCAGCAGUAGGGAAUCUUCCGCAAUGGGCGAAAGCCUGACGGAGCAACGCCGCGUGAGUGAUGAAGGUCUUCGGAUCGUAAAACUCUGUUAUUAGGGAAGAACAAAUGUGUAAGUAACUAUGCACGUCUUGACGGUACCUAAUCAGAAAGCCACGGCUAACUACGUG